UCCAAUUGUUCAACUCCCCAAGGCCUACCUUAAAGGCACAAACAUUAAAGUUUGUCAUUGUUUCCUCCUCUUCCAACUCCCCCUUGCUCGUUACCCAUCCCACAUUUAUCCUGUUCCUCUUGCAAGUAUAAACACGGGGAUAAAGAUGCUGUGUUGCAGUUUUCAGCUUUUGGUUACCUAUAUCAGUUCUGUAACAUAGAGUAUCAAAGUUAAUAUGAAUGAUGAUUUUGACUGGCUUGACUAGGGAUAGCCAUUGGUAAAACAUAACGUAAAAAAAAUUUGAAGUCCUCUGCCUUUCUCUGGAACCCAGAUUGUCAGCCUUCCAUUCUUGUUCCCACUGUGACCCCUACUAAUGUGUUAAUUUAUUUGAUGUGAGUUGAUAAAGGAGUUAAAGUGUGAGACACAGAAUCUCAAAGUUAUACCAGAAGCCAAAUGUUAGAAAAUGUUGAAACCAAAUGAUACAGAAGAAUGGAUUCCAUGUCAAUUUGAAAACAUAAAAUAUCGGAUUAUACUGUACAGCAAAUAUGACAAAGUGAUUAAAUUUACUUUAAAUGUGUAGUGCAUGUGAAAUCGUGGGGAUUCUAUUUAUUUAUAACUGAAAUUGCUUUCAAAGGAGAGUGGAUCAUGUUAAAAUGAAAGUUCUUAUGUAGAACUAAGAACUAAGCAACUCAUAGUUGGGUUUGUGACUGAGUAUGAGGAUAAGAGUUAGAACUGAAUUGCUCUGUUUAAGAAAAAUGGAGGAACGGUUUUGAAGGGAGAAGAGACACAGGGAAACAGGCAAAGCUCAGAAUCACAGAAAGAGGCAGGCAUAUCAAUAAAUGGUUGGGGAUCUUUCCUUCUUUUCUUCUUUCUUUGCUCCCUCCAUUCCUCUUUUUUGUUUCCUGUCUCCCCUCUCCCAAUAUCCCUCCCUCUCACUUCUCUCCCUUUUUCUUUCUGAAAAACAGAGAUUACCUAAUAUUAACUUUAAAGUUGUAGAUUCUUCUGUCUCCUAAGAUCUUCUCAAUAAAGGGUUUUUAUAUAGAAAUGACCUGUAAGUGAUUUUAGUUUUGGUGUUUUGGUUUUUAUAUUUGUUGUUGUUUGUUUGCUUUGGUGAGAUUUGCUGGAGUUGAUGUGGUAUGGAAAGGAAAAGCAUGUGAAGAGAGAUGAAGUUACUCUUGAACAAAAUUAAUAUUUAAUAGAAUUAGGGACUCGCAGCCACAUUCCAAAGUCCAUGGCCUGGAGGCUCAAGGCAAACUCAGGGGAUGUUAAAGCGCAGGUGACCCCAGCCCUAGUUGUUACACGUGUUCCAGCGCCCUCCACCCCUCCCCAUCCCCUCCCCGCCCCUUCCCUUUCCUUUUUAAAUUGACAAAUAAAAAUCAUGUAUAUUUAUCAUGUACAACAUGAUGUUUUAAAAUAUGUAUACAUUGUGGAAUGGCCAUAUCAAACUAUCUCCUUGCCUUCUUAUUUUGCUCUCCACACUGGGUGAGGGUCUGAUGCUGGUUGGUGUGUGCACAAGGGAUAUAUCCUUCCUUCCAAGGACAAAGGACUGGGUACGUGUUCUGGCUUCUAAUUGUUUACUGGUUCUUCAGUCUUCCAAAAUAUGUGGCUUCCUUUUUUUGAGGAAUUUAUUCCAAAUCUUUGAAUUCCAAAAUCCAAUUCUGGAAACAAACCCUCACUUAGAUGGAGUCCGUCAGUUUCUUAGGUCAUUCUCCCUGAGGUUUCAGAACAGCUUUUAAUCCCAGCAUCAAGAGGCAGCUAAUGUACAUAAAUAGUUCCCUUUCCUAGUUCCUUCCA
rnacentral:lncRNA from 10 species